rnacentral:rRNA from 1 species
CUAUGGAUACUCGCUGUAGGCGAUACACAGUCUGCGGCCAAGCGAAAGCAUUAAGUAUCCCACCUGGGGAGUACGCCGGCAACGGUGAAACUCAAAGGAAUUGACGGGGGCCCGCACAAGCGGAGGAACAUGUGGUUUAAUUCGAUGAUACGCGAGGAACCUUACCCGGGCUUAAAUUGCAACUGAAUAGCUGAGAGAUCAGUUAGCUAGCAAUAGCAGUUGUGAAGGUGCUGCAUGGUUGUCGUCAGCUCGUGCCGUGAGGUGUCGGCUUAAGUGCCAUAACGAGCGCAACCCUUGUCGAUAGUUACUAACAGGUUAUGCUGAGGACUCUAUCGAGACUGCCAUCGUAAGAUGUGAGGAAGGUGGGGAUGACGUCAAAUCAGCACGGCCCUUACGUCCGGGGCUACACACGUGUUACAAUGGAGGGUACAGAAGGCAGCUACACGGCGACGUGAUGCUAAUCCCGAAAACCUUUCUCAGUUCGGAUCGAAGUCUGCAACCCGACUUCGUGAAGCUGGAUUCGC